rnacentral:tRNA from 1 species
UGCCCCAUGGCUCAGUUGGCUUUAGCGUCCGACUGUUAAUCGGAAGGUCGAGGGUUCAAGCCUUUCUGGAGCAG